rnacentral:rRNA from 1 species
CGUCUAUAUACGUAUAGCAUAUCAAUAAGCGGAGGAAAAGAAACUAACUAGGAUUCCCUCAGUAACGGCGAGUGAAGCGGGAAGAGCUCAAAUUUGAAAUCUUCAAGGUUCUACCUUGACGAAUUGUAGUUUAUAGAAGUGUUUUCUGUUAGUGGAGUGGCAAAAGUUCUUUGGAAUAGGACAUCAUAGAGGGUGAGAAUCCCGUAUUUGGUCAUUCCUCCUAGCGUUGUGAUACACUUUCAACGAGUCGGAUUGUUUGGGAAUGCAGUCCAAAAUGGGUGGUAAAUUUCAUCUAAAGCUAAAUAUUGGCGAGAGACCGAUAGCGAACAAGUACCGUGAGGGAAAGAUGAAAAGAACUUUGAAAAGAGAGUUAAACAGUACGUGAAAUUGUCAAAAGGGAAGCGUUUGACACCAGUGUUGUUUUUUCCGAAAAUCAAUUACGAAUGUUUUAUUUUUGAGGAGUUAUGACUUCAUCGGCUUGCUCCUUUCUUUACGAAACUUUCUUAAUGCACUUUUCGGUUAACAAGUCAACAUCAAUUUCUUUUGUUGUAAAAGGGUAUGAGGAAGGUGGCUUUCUUUUCGGAGAAAGUGUUUAUAGCCUUGUGCCUCUAGCAAUCGGAGAGAUUGAGGUCUGCAGCGUAGAUCCUUCGGGGUUAGAUACGUUUGUGCUAAGUUAUAGCUUUUCAUAGACAACUUGUUGACUAUGUUUAGUCUUGUAGCUUACUCGCUUACUGCUAUUUUACCUACGCUUAGGAUGUUGACUGAUAUGUAGUCGUA